rnacentral:rRNA from 1 species
AGGACGAACGCUGGCGGCGUGCUUAACACAUGCAAGUCGAACGGAAAGGCCCGCUUGCGGGUACUCGAGUGGCGAACGGGUGAGUAACACGUGGGCAACCUGCCCUCAGCUCUGGGAUAACUCCGGGAAACCGGUGCUAAUACUGGAUAUCGACUUCUGCCUCGCAUGGGGUGUUGUUGAAAGUUUUUCGGCUGGGGAUGGGCCCGCGGCCUAUCAGCUUGUUGGUGGGGUGAUGGCCUACCAAGGCGACGACGGGUAGCCGGCCUGAGAGGGCGACCGGCCACACUGGGACUGAGACACGGCCCAGACUCCUACGGGAGGCAGCAGUGGGGAAUAUUGCGCAAUGGGCGGAAGCCUGACGCAGCGACGCCGCGUGAGGGAUGACGGCCUCGGGUUGUAAACCUCUUCAGCUCUGACGAAGCGAGAGUGACGGUAGGAGCAGAAGAAGCACCGGCCAACUACGUGCCAGCAGCCGC